AGCGAACGCUGGCGGCAGGCCUAACACAUGCAAGUCGAACGCCCAGCAAUGGGAGUGGCAGACGGGAUAGUAACACGUGGGAACGCGCCCUUCGGUUCGGAAUAACUCAGGGAAACUUGAGCUAAUACCGGAUACGCCCUUACGGGGAAAGAUUUAUUGCCGAAGGAACGGCCCGCGUCGGAUUAGCUAGUUGGUGAGGUAAUGGCUCACCAAGGCGACGAUCCGUAGCUGGUCUGAGAGGAUGACCAGCAUCACUGGGACUGAGACACGGCCCAGACUCCUACGGGAGGCAGCAGUGGGGAAUAUUGGACAAUGGGCGCAAGCCUGAUCCAGCCAUGCCGCGUGGAUGAUGAAGGCCCUAGGGUUGUAAAGUCCUUUUAACGGGGAAGAUAAUGACGGUACCCGUAGAAUAAGCCCCGGCUAACUUCGUGCCAGCAGCCGCGGUAAUACGAAGGGGGCUAGCGUUGCUCGGAAUUACUGGGCGUAAAGCGCACGUAGGCGGGUCGAUAAGUCGGGGGUGAAAUCCUGGAGCUCAACUCCAGAACUGCCUUCGAAACUGUCGAUCUUGAGUUCGGGAGAGGUGAGUGGAACUGCGAGUGUAGAGGUGAAAUUCGUAGAUAUUCGCAAGAACACCAGUGGCGAAGGCGGCUCACUGGCCCAGAUACUGACGC
rnacentral:rRNA from 1 species